rnacentral:tRNA from 1 species
UGGUGGAGGUAAAGGGAUUCGAACCCUUGACCCCCUGCGUGCAAGGCAGGUGCUCUCCCAACUGAGCUAUACCCCC